rnacentral:rRNA from 1 species
AGUGAACGCUGGCGGUAGGCCUAACACAUGCAAGUCGAACGGCAGCACAGGAGAGCUUGCUCUCUGGGUGGCGAGUGGCGGACGGGUGAGGAAUACAUCGGAAUCUACUUUUUCGUGGGGGAUAACGUAGGGAAACUUACGCUAAUACCGCAUACGACCUACGGGUGAAAGCAGGGGAUCUUCGGACCUUGCGCGAUUGAAUGAGCCGAUGUCGGAUUAGAUAGUUGGCGGGGUAAAGGCCCACCAAGGCGACGAUCCGCAGCUGGUCUGAGAGGAUGAGCAGACACACUGGAACUGAGACACGGUCCAGACUCCUACGGGAGGCAGCAGUGGGGAAUAUUGGACAAUGGGCGCAAGCCUGAUCCAGCCAUACCGCGUGGGUGAAGAAGGCCUUCGGGUUGUAAAGCCCUUUUGUUGGGAAAGAAAUCCAGCUGGUUAAUACCCGGUUGGGAUGACGGUACCCAAAGAAUAAGCACCGGCUAACUUCGUGCCAGCCGCCGCCGUAA